rnacentral:rRNA from 1 species
AUGGGGAGGUCCCCUUGCUGCGACGAGAAUGGCCUCAAGAAGGGGCCUUGGACACCCGAAGAGGACCAGAAGCUCACGGACUACAUCGAGAAGCAUGGCCAUGGGAGCUGGAGAGCACUGCCUAAGCUUGCAGGACUCAACAGGUGUGGCAAGAGCUGCAGACUGAGAUGGACCAACUACCUGAGGCCAGAUAUCAAGAGAGGAAAGUUCACACCCGAGGAAGAGCAGACCAUCCUCCAGCUCCACUCCGUCCUUGGCAACAAGUGGUCAGCCAUCGCGAAGCACCUCCCCGGACGGACUGACAACGAGAUCAAGAACUUCUGGAACACCCACCUGAAGAAGAAGCUGAUCCAGAUGGGCUUCGACCCGAUGACACACCGACCGAGGACCGACUUCUUCGCCGCGCUGCCACAGCUCAUCGCGCUCGCCAACCUCCGCCAGCUUGUGGAGCAGCGCCCGUGGGACGAUCAAAGCGCCAGCCAGCUGCAAGCCGAUGCAGUGCAGGCAGCAAAGCUCGAGUACUUACAGUGCCUGCUUCAGUCCGCAGCAGCCAUUGCAACUAGUCCCAGCUCCAGCAGCAUCAACACCAUCCCCACUGACCUAGAGCAAAUCGGCCUCCUGAGUCCUUCGCAGAUGUCUUCCUUGUCUUCGCUGUCAUCUCCAAGGAUCCUAGAGGGUAUCAAUGGCCAAGACUUAGUAUCCGGGCAAGUGCCUGACAUCCAGAUACCUAGUAGCUCAUUCUUUGAACAUGAACAGCCUAUCAUCAAUGGUACCAACCAGAACUCAGAUUACAGUGCAAACAGCGGUGAGGGGGAGAAUGGCACCCAGAAACCGCUGCUCCUGUCAGAGGACUCCCUUCCGCCACUUACCGACUUCCCUAUUUCCAACCUCGGCGAUGCUUGCAGCACCUCAAGCUGUGACGCUGAGGGCAACAGCACCCAGCUCCCUAUUUGGUCCGACUCAUUUUAUGAUGAGUUCAUGAGCGAGUUUGCAUGA